GAUGAAGAACGCAGCGAAAUGUGAUACUUGGUGUGAAUUGCAGAAUCCCGUGAACCAUCGAGUCUUUGAACGCAAGUUGCGCCCGAAGCCAUUAGGCCGAGGGCACGCCUGCCUGGGCGUCACACGUCGUUGCCCCCCCAUCUACUCCUUCGGGAUUGCGGGGGGCGGAUGAUGGCCUCCCGUGCGCCUCGUCGCGCGGUUGGCAUAAAUGCCAAGUCCUCGGCGACGCACGCCACGACAAUCGGUGGUUGCGAAACCUCGGUUGCCCGUCGUGUGCGGUCGUCGCGCAUCGAGGGCUCGAAAAAAUUGCCGGGCUCCGGCUCGGCUUUCAACGCGACCCCAGGUCAGGCGGGGUUACCCGCUGAAUUUAAGCAUAUCAAUAAGCGGAGGA
rnacentral:misc_RNA from 1 species